GAUGAACGCUAGCUACAGGCUUAACACAUGCAAGUCGAGGGGAAACGACAUCGAAAGCUUGCUUUUGAUGGGCGUCGACCGGCGCACGGGUGAGUAACGCGUAUCCAACCUGCCCACCACUUGGGGAUAACCUUGCGAAAGUAAGACUAAUACCCAAUGAUAUCUCUAGAAGAAAACAGAAAGAGAUUAAAGAUUUAUCGGUGAUGGAUGGGGAUGCGUCUGAUUAGCUUGUUGGCGGGGUAACGGCCCACCAAGGCUACGAUCAGUAGGGGUUCUGAGAGGAAGGUCCCCCACAUUGGAACUGAGACACGGUCCAAACUCCUACGGGAGUCAGCAGUGAGGAAUAUUGGUCAAUGGGCGAGAGCCUGAACCAGCCAAGUAGCGUGCAGGAUGACGGCCCUAUGGGUUGUAAACUGCUUUUAUAAGGGAAUAAAGUGAGCCUCGUGAGGCUUUUUGCAUGUACCUUAUGAAUAAGGACCGGCUAAUUCCGUGCCAGCAGCAGCCGCCG
rnacentral:rRNA from 1 species